CCACUGUUCCCCGGUAAGGCGUCAUUGUAAAUAAGAAUUUGUUCUUAAUUGACAUGCCUAGUUAAAUAAAGAAAAAAAAUCAUGGAGCGGGUUUGUUAGAUUAAAAAUGUUUGUUUAAUUUAAACAGAAUUGUCACAUACAGAAAGGCACGUAAUACAUGAGAACAAAACAACAAGUCAAAUCAAAUUCAUAAUCAUUGCAUGUACAUUUCCAGGUGUAUCAAAACGGAGAAACAAAGAAUCUCAGUAAUGCUUCAUUUUUACAACCCACUGUUUAGCAGGAAGUGUAGUUACUUACAAAUUAAAACGGUAAUUACGUGAUAAUUGCAUAUAACACUUCGGUUUCGUUGAGAUUCAUUGAACCAAUCAAGUACCAUCUAAGGGUUGCAAAAUUCCGCUUCUGGAGUGACCUGAAUAUUGUAAACCGGGUUGUAAAAUGAAACAGUACCAGAAUCCCAUAUUGUAAAUAGUCAGCAGCAGAUGAACAACAACACAAACAAACCAACAAACUAGAGGUGAAAGGUUAUUAAAACAAACAAAUAUAAGAUAUGGUCCGUAUUUGAAAUGGAAAGUCCUCACACCAGUCUCUCCUCUCACAGAUACCAGUCCUCACACCAGUCUCUCCUCUCCUCACACAGAUACCAGUUAGAUACUAGUCCUCACACCAAUACCAGUUAGAUACUAGUCCUCACACCAGUCUCUCCUCUCACAGAUACCAGUCCUCACACAGAUACCAGUUAGAUACUAUUCCUCACACAGAUACCAGUUAGAUACUAGUCCUCACACAGUUACCAGUUAGAUACCAGUCCUCACACAGAUACCAGUUAGAUACUAGUCCUCACACCAGUCUCUCCUCUCCUCACAUAGGUACCAGUUAGAUACUAGUCCUCACACCAGUCUCUCCCCUCCUCACACAGAUACCAGUUAGAUACUAGUUCUCACACAGAUACCAGUUAGAUACCAGUCCUCACACCAGUCUCUCCUCUCCUCACACAGAUACCAGUUAGAUACUAGUCCUCACACCAGUCUCUCCUCUCCUCACACAGAUACCAGUUAGAUACUAGUCCUCACACCAGUCUCUCCUCUCCUCACACAGAUACCAGUUAGAUACCAGUCCUCACACAGGUACCAGUUAGAUACCAGUCCUCACACCAGUCUCUCCUCUCCUCACACAGAUACCAGUUAGAUACUAGUCCUCACACCAGUCUCUCCUCUCCUCACACAGGUACCAGUUAGAUACCAGUCCUCACACAGGUACCAGUUAGAUACCAGUCCUCACACCAGUCUCUCCUCUCCUCACACAGAUACCAGUUAGAUACUAGUCCUCACACCAGUCUCUCCUCUCCUCACACAGAUACCAGUUAGAUACCAGUCCUCACACAGGUACCAGUUAGAUACCAGUCCUCACACCAGUCUCUCCUCUCCUCACACAGAUACCAGUUAGAUACCAGUCCUCACACCAGUCUCUCCUCUCCUCACACAGAUACCAGUUAGAUACUAGUCCUCACACCAGUCUCUCCUCUCCUCACACAGAUACCAGUUAGAUACCAGUCCUCACACAGAUACCAGUUAGAUACUAGUCCUCACACCAGUCUCUCCUCUCCUCACACAGAUACCAGUUAGAUACCAGUCCUCACACAGGUACCAGUUAGAUACCAGUCCUCACACCAGUCUCUCCUCUCCUCACACAGAUACCAGUUAGAUACUAGUCCUCACACCAGUCUCUCCUCUCCUCACACAGAUACCAGUUAGAUACCAGUCCUCACACAGGUACCAGUUAGAUACCAGUCCUCACACAGAUACCAGUUAGAUACUAGUCCUCACACCAGUCUCUCCUCUCCUCACACAGAUACCAGUUAGAUACCAGUCC
ensembl:lncRNA